UUGGAGGGCAAGUCUGGUGCCAGCAGCCGCGGUAAUUCCAGCUCCAAUAGCGUAUAUUAAAGUUGUUGCAGUUAAAAAGCUCGUAGUUGAAUUUCGGGGUCAGUAGGUUGGUCGUGCCUAUGGUAUGUACUGGCUUUACUGAUUCCUCCUUCUUGAAGAACUGUAAUGUCAUUAAUUUGGUGUUGCAGGGAAACAGGACUGUUACUUUGAAAAAAUUAGAGUGUUUAAAGCAGGCUAACGCUUGAAUACAUUAGCAUGGAAUAAUGAAAUAGGACGUUUGAUCCUAUUUUGUUGGUUUCUAGGAUUGACGUAAUGAUUAAUAGGGAUAGUUGGGGGCAUUAGUAUUCAAUUGUCAGAGGUGAAAUUCUUGGAUUUAUUGAAGACUAACUACUGCGAAAGCAUUUGCCAAGGAUGUUUUCAUUAAUCAAGAACGAAAGUUAGGGGAUCGAAGACGAUCAGAUACCGUCGUAGUCUCAACCAUAAACUAUGCCGACUAGGGAUCGGAUGAUGUUAAUUUAUUAAUGACUCAUUCGGCGCCUUACGGAAAC
rnacentral:rRNA from 1 species